AUUGAACGCUGGCGGCAUGCUUUACACAUGCAAGUCGAACGGUAACAGGGUGCUUGCACCGCUGACGAGUGGCGAACGGGUGAGUAAUGCGUCGGAACGUGCCGAGUAGUGGGGGAUAACGCAGCGAAAGUUGUGCUAAUACCGCAUACGUACUGAGGUAGAAAGUGGGGAACCUUCGGGCCUCACGCUAUUCGAGCGGCCGACGUCUGAUUAGCUAGUAGGUGAGGUAAAGGCUCACCUAGGCGACGAUCAGUAGCGGGUCUGAGAGGAUGAUCCGCCACACUGGGACUGAGACACGGCCCAGACUCCUACGGGAGGCAGCAGUGGGGAAUUUUGGACAAUGGGCGAAAGCCUGAUUCAGCCAUGCCGCGUGUCUGAAGAAGGCCUUCGGGUUGUAAAGGACUUUUGUCAGGGAGGAAAUCCCUAGUGCUAAUAACACUGGGGGAUGACAGUACCUGAAGAAUAAGCACCGGCUAACUGCGUGCCAGCCGCCGCGGUAA
rnacentral:rRNA from 1 species